GCAGUUUCCUGAAAUCUAGCGUUAUUGUAGCAGCCAAUGGGUGGAGUUUGAGAUUUGCGACAGGUCCCGUCCCCCCGGUAACACUGCAUGCUUGAUGUUGUGUGUUCAGAGCUUGUUUCUUAGGGGUGAAAAAAGCGGUCCUGAUUUUGCAUCGCAAAAAAAUGCCACACACAUUGUGUGCAAAGAGCAACCCCUAGAGGGCAGGGACGAGACGAAGCCGGAAAAUGGCCUCCUUAGCUUGAGGAACGUCACAAUUCCUGCUUUUAAAACCUAUUUAAAGCCAUUUGAGAUGAGUCUGAACUGAGAACUGACAAGUCGAGUUCUUCAGAAGCCCUUUUUGAAAUGGGGUGAAAUGUUCUCUUCAACUUUCUUUUCUUUUAAUGUUGAUGUAUUUGUAUCUACAUGGGUUAACAGUGUUCCUUGGGUCAAGCCAUGCCAACAGACCCAUAAAUGUACACACAAAACAAGAAUAUGAAGUGGGAAUGAGCGCCUCACUCCCCAGUCAAUAGAGAGAUGAAAUGUAGGUUUGAAUCAUCUUUUAAGAUCAAAUUGAAGUACUUCUCUUGAUACCGUAUGAGACCUAAAGAAGAAAUAUGUUUUUUGUUGCAUGGACACAACUUUAGCUGAACUUUAAAAAAAAAAAAGGGGAUAAAAAAAACUCAGACUGCUACUUGCAAAAAAAGAUGACAAGAAAAACGAAUCAGAUCAGCCAUUUUCAACAGUUUCUAUUAUUUUUAAAAAAAAAUUUCACUAGUGCAUGAUUUUCAUGGGGAGUGAAUGCUACCAUGUGAUUUGAAAAAAA